CUUCUCAUCUCUGGAAAAAAGUCCAUACCGGCCGUCUACACUGGCGCCUGGGGGAGAAAGCAGGGAAGAAACUGGGGGUGCUUGAGAAACGUUUUCAUUCGCACCUCGGGGGAAAAUGUUUCUGCAUCUUCUGAUGGAAAGAAAUCUUUACAAGACACAGGUUUUCCGGCUAAUAAUGAUUCUUCUCCGUUGCGGAUCGGAUCCAAGUUCUGUGUCUGGUGGUCAGUUUAUAAAUUUGUACUUCAAGAGACUUCAUAGCCACUGUAUCUUAUAUUGGUCUAUGGAUAUGUUUUUACAUGCAUAUUUGCAAGUCGCUUUCUAUAUAAAAAUUUGUAUUAUAUAUUCCACUCAAAACUGAGAUUGCCAAAAGACAAUUGUUAAGGGAUGUCUUUUGUCUCCUUGUCUCAAAGCUAUGUAAAUAAAACCUGACUGUCCAGAAAGGCAUGAUCCAGCUGUUUAUUUUUCACAGUGCCAAUAAAGGCAGAGAUCACUGAGAGGUUAAAUACAAUUUAAGUAUAACUGAGCACAUUUCUGAGAAUAAUCCUCAUUCUGUUAUGGUCUACCCAUGAAGAAAGGUUACUGUAAAACUGGAAAUAGACUUGAAAAGACAGCUUUAGAUUUUCUUUAAAAUUGCUUAUUGAGGAAAUGUGAUUAUUCUACCCAGAUAUUUGAUUUUCUCAUUAGAUUCUUUAGGGGUUAGAUCUUUGGCGCAUCGCACAUGUUGCUGUCCACUUUCUGUGUCACAGAGUGGAAAAAUGUGUGUUUUUGUUAGAGUUGAUAUGUUGUUGGUUCUUAACUUCCAGUGUGCUGCCAGCUGUAUAAAUCACUUUUAAUAUAUUGCAGUGGUUGUCACAGAUCUACUUUUUUUAAAUGAGCACAGCUUAGUGGAUAAAUGGGAUCAAAGUUACCCAAAGCUGAGGUAGCACCGAGAUCAGAGAAGGGUACC
rnacentral:lncRNA from 1 species